rnacentral:rRNA from 1 species
UACGUAGGGGGCUAGCGUUAAUCGGAAUUACUGGGCGUAAAGCGCGCGCAGGCGGCCUUUUAAGUCUGGCGGUGAAAUGCCGGGGCUCAACCCCGUUGCAUGCCGCGGAUACUGGGAGGCUGGAGACGAGUAGAGGCAAGCGGAAUUCCGGGUGUAGCGGUGGAAUGCGUAGAGAUCCGGGAGAACACCGGAGGCGAAGGCGGCUUGCUGGGCUUGGUCUGACGCUGAGGCGCGAAAGCGUGGGGAGCGAACAGG